rnacentral:rRNA from 1 species
UAAUGUAUGGGGAUCUGCCCGAUAGAGGGGGAUAACUACUGGAAACGGUGGCUAAUACCGCAUAAUGUCUACGGACCAAAGCAGGGGCUCUUCGGACCUUGCACUAUCGGAUGAACCCAUAUGGGAUUAGCUAGUAGGCGGGGUAAAGGCUCACCUAGGCGACGAUCUCUAGCUGGUCUGAGAGGAUGAUCAGCCACACUGGGACUGAGACACGGCCCAG